rnacentral:rRNA from 1 species
AGUGAACGCUGGCGGUAGGCCUAACACAUGCAAGUCGAACGGCAGCACAGUAAGAGCUUGCUCUUACGGGUGGCGAGUGGCGGACGGGUGAGGAAUACAUCGGAAUCUACUUUUUCGUGGGGGAUAACGUAGGGAAACUUACGCUAAUACCGCAUACGACCUACGGGUGAAAGCAGGGGAUCUUCGGACCUUGCGCGAUUGAAUGAGCCGAUGUCGGAUUAGCUAGUUGGCGGGGUAAAGGCCCACCAAGGCGACGAUCCGUAGCUGGUCUGAGAGGAUGAUCGGCAACACUGGAACUGAGACACGGUCCAGACUCCUACGGGAGGCAGCAGUGGGGAAUAUUGGACAAUGGGCGCAAGCCUGAUCCAGCCAUACCGCGUGUGUGAAGAAGGCCUUCGGGUUGUAAAGCCCUUUUGUUGGGAAAGAAAAGCAGCAGGUUAAUACCCCGCUGUUCUGACGGUACCCAAAGAAUAAGCACCGGCUAACUUCGU